rnacentral:rRNA from 1 species
UACAGAGGGGGCAAGCGUUAAUCGGAAUUACUGGGCGUAAAGCGUGCGCAGGCGGGCUGUUAAGCCAGACGUGAAAUCCCCGGGCUUAACCUGGGAAUGGCGUUUGGGACUGGAAGUCUGGAGUGCGGCAGAGGAGACUGGAAUUCCUGGUGUAGCAGUGAAAUGCGUAGAUAUCAGGAGGAACACCGAUGGCGAAGGCAGGUCUCUGGGCUGACACUGACGCUCAUGCACGAAAGCGUGGGGAGCAAACAGG